CCUACGGGAGGCAGCAGUGAGGAAUAUUGGUCAAUGGGCGUGAGCCUGAACCAGCCACGUCGCGUGAAGGAUGACUGCCCUACGGGUUGUAAACUUCUUUUAUAAAGGAAUAAAGUGAGGCACGUGUGCCUUUUUGUAUGUACUUUAUGAAUAAGGAUCGGCUAACUCCGUGCCAGCAGCCGCGGUAAUACGGAGGAUCCGAGCGUUAUCCGGAUGUAUUGGGUUUAAAGGGAGCGUAGAUGGGUUGUUAAGUCAGUUGUGAAAGUUUGCGGCUCAACCGUAAAAGUGCAAUUGAUACUGGCAGUCUUGAGUGCAGUUGAGGAGGGCGGAAUUCGUGGUGUAGCGGUGAAAUGCUUAGAUAUCACGAAGAACUCCGAUGGCGAAGGCAGCUUACUAAACUGCCACUGACAUUGAUGCUCGAAAGUGUGGGUAGCAAACAGGAUUAGAUACCCGGGUAGUC
rnacentral:rRNA from 1 species